GAUGAACGCUGGCGGCGUGCUUAACACAUGCAAGUCGAACGAUGAAGCCCAGCUUGCUGGGUGGAUUAGUGGCGAACGGGUGAGUAACACGUGAGUAACCUGCCCUUAACUCUGGGAUAAGCCUGGGAAACUGGGUCUAAUACCGGAUAGGAGCGUCCACCGCAUGGUGGGUGUUGGAAAGAUUUAUCGGUUUUGGAUGGACUCGCGGCCUAUCAGCUUGUUGGUGAGGUAAUGGCUCACCAAGGCGACGACGGGUAGCCGGCCUGAGAGGGUGACCGGCCACACUGGGACUGAGACACGGCCCAGACUCCUACGGGAGGCAGUAGUGGGGAAUAUUGCACAAUGGGCGCAAGCCUGAUGCAGCGACGCCGCGUGAGGGAUGACGGCCUUCGGGUUGUAAACCUCUUUCAGUAGGGAAGAAGCGAAAGUGACGGUACCUGCAGAAGAAGCACCGGCUAACUACGUG
rnacentral:rRNA from 1 species